rnacentral:rRNA from 1 species
UACGUAGGGGCCUAGCGUUGUCCGGAAUCAUUGGGCGUAAAGAGCUCGUAGGCGGCUUGGCAAGUCGGGUGUGAAAACUUCAGGCUCAACCUGGAGCGGCCACUCGAUACUGCUAUGGCUUGAGUCCGGUAGGGGACCACGGAAUUCCUGGUGUAGCGGUGAAAUGCGCAGAUAUCAGGAGGAACACCAGUGGCGAAGGCGGUGGUCUGGGCCGGAACUGACGCUGAGGAGCGAAAGCGUGGGUAGCAAACAGG